rnacentral:rRNA from 1 species
AUUGAACGCUGGCGGCAGGCCUAACACAUGCAAGUCGAACGGUAACAGGAAGAAGCUUGCUUCUUUGCUGACGAGUGGCGGACGGGUGAGUAAUGUCUGGGAAACUGCCUGAUGGAGGGGGAUAACUACUGGAAACGGUAGCUAAUACCGCAUAACGUCGCAAGACCAAAGAGGGGGACCUUCGGGCCUUUUGUCAUCGGAUGUGCCCAGAUGGGAUUCGCUAGUAGGUGGGGUAACGGCUCACCUAGGCGACGAUCCCUAGCUGGUCUGAGAGGAUGACCAGCCACACUGGAACUGAGACACGGUCCAGACUCCUACGGGAGGCAGCAGUGGGGAAUAUUGCACAAUGGGCGCAAGCCUGAUGCAGCCAUGCCGCGUGUAUGAAGAAGGCCUUCGGGUUGUAAAGUACUUUCAGCGGGGAGGAAGGGAGUAAAGUUAAUACCUUGGCUCAUUGACGUUACCCGCAGAAGAAGCACCGGCUAACUCCGUG